rnacentral:lncRNA from 1 species
CAAUCCAGGAACGCUGGGAUCACGCCCUGAGCCGAAGGCAGACGCUUAACGACUGCGCCACCCAGGCGCCCCCGAAACUGAUUUUGAAUGAAGACAAAACUUAGAAAUCUUCCCUUUCUACCUGCAAACAAAUCUGAGAUGAAUGCAGUUACAACUAACUUUAUAAUAAGAAACUUAGAGUAAGAAGCUAUUUGAAUUUCAAAUCUUUUUUAAAAAUCAAAGAACUUUUGUAAACAUAAAAACUUAAGGGAAGAUCUUAGCCAUUUAUUAUUUCAUGGUGUUAGGACUCUCUUCUGUUUUUUGUUUUCUCACAGAACAUAGCUUGUAUGCAUAUAAUUUUUUUAAAUGAGUGUUGUGGUGUCUUAUAAGUUCAUUGAUAAAAAUCAUUUAUUCUAAGAUAGGUGUUUUACAUGAACAGUUAUAACACUUAUCCUGUGUUAAAUUUUUAAAAAUAUUUAUUAAGUAGAUAUGGACAAUCUUAGCCUAUAAAAAGUUUUUUUGAGGAAUGCUUGGGAACAAUCUUUAGGGCUUAUAUCUAUAAAAAAUGUCUAAGAUAAUAUUUAUUUAAAUGAUUUUACUAAUUAACAUGCACCAAUUUUGUGGGGUUUUUUUCCUUCAGAGUUGCAGAGUUCUCUUCUUUAAAAUUUCAGCCAGCCCAGAAUUGGCAUGGAUUGUAUCAAAGACACAAACUUCAUCCCAGAGUGAUUACAGUAACAGCUUACAAAAAUGGAUCUAGAACAGUCUUUGCCAAAGUUACAGUACCAACCAUCGCCUUGUUGCUGGAGGAGUGCACAGAAAAGCGAAUCUGAACAUGGCCGCUCGAGGAGUGUUCUUGGCAGACGGCAGUGAAGCCCUCAAACCUGAAGAUACACCCUGUGAAGCCGACGUUUAUGUUUCAACAGGAGAGCCCUUUUUAGAUCCAUUCAAAAAAAUUAAAGGUUUUAGAUACUUGCACAAUGAGAAUGAACCUAAAUUCGCCAGCCAGAUAUCUUUAUGAUUUGUAUGGCAGAACAAUUAAAGAUAUUUCAAAAGGUAAGUGACAAAGAUUUUAUUAACUCUAUGAUAACAUUUCAAAAGGCAUUACAUAAUUUUGUUUUUACUUUGUAUAUUUAAAAGGAAAACAGCUAUAAUAAAAGUGUAGUUUUAACAUGUCUAAAUAUGUCA